UACGGAGGGGGCUAGCGUUGUUCGGAAUUACUGGGCGUAAAGCGUGCGCAGGCGGUUCGUUGUGUCGGCGGUGAAAGCCCCGGGCUCAACCUGGGAAUGGCCGUUGAAACUGGCGAACUGGAGUGUGGCAGAGGGGGGUGGAAUUCCGCGUGUAGCAGUGAAGUGCAUAGAGAUGUGGAGGAACACCGAUGGCGAAGGCAGCCUCCUGGGCCAAUUCUGACGCUCAGGCACGAAAGCGUGGGGAUCAAACAGG
rnacentral:rRNA from 1 species